GUGCCCACUUUGGCAGCACAUAAACUAAAAUUGGAAUGAUACGGAGAUUAGCAUGGACCCUGCACAAGAAUGACACGCAAAUUCAUGAAGCAUUCCAUAUUUUU
rnacentral:snRNA from 1 species